rnacentral:rRNA from 1 species
GUAAGGAAUAUUGGACAAUGGACGCAAGUCUGAUCCAGCCAUGCCGCGUGAAGGAUUAAGGUCCUCUGGAUUGUAAACUUCUUUUAUAAGGGACGAAAAAAGGCUUUUCUAAGUCGUCUGACGGUACCUUAUGAAUAAGCACCGGCUAACUCCGUGCCAGCAGCCGCGGUAAUAUGGAGGGUGCAAGCGUUAUCCGGAUUCACUGGGUUUAAAGGGUGCGUAGGCGGGCAGGUAAGUCAGUGGUGAAAUCCUAGAGCUUAACUCUAGAACUGCCAUUGAUACUAUCUGUCUUGAAUAUUGUGGAGGUAAGCGGAAUAUGUCAUGUAGCGGUGAAAUGCUUAGAUAUGACAUAGAACACCUAUUGCGAAGGCAGCUUACUACGCAUAUAUUGACGCUGAGGCACGAAAGCGUGUGGAUCCAACAGGAUUAGAAACCCGAGUAGUCC